CAGUCGCACGAGAAAGGGCUUCGGCCCCAGUAAAGUGGCGCACGGGUGCGUAACACGUAGGUAAUCUUCCCUUGAGCGGGGGAUAACGUUUCGAAAGAGACGCUAAUACCGCAUAAGACCACGUCCUGUUCGCAGGAUGCGGUCAAAGCUGGCCUCUUCAUGAAAGCUAGCACUUAAGGACGAGCCUGCGGCCCAUCAUGCUAGUUGGUAGGGUAACGGCCUACCAAGGCGAAGACGGGUAGCUGGUCUGAGAGGAUGAUCAGCCACACUGGAACUGAAACACGGUCCAGACUCCUACGGGAGGCAGCAGUGGGGAAUAUUGGACAAUGGGCGAAAGCCUGAUCCAGCGACGCCGCGUGAGUGAUGAAGGCCUUCGGGUUGUAAAGCUCUGUUGAGGGAGAAGAAAACGUCUGGCGUGAAUAACUCCAGACCUUGACGGUAUCCCUUUAGAAAGCACCGGCUAACUCUGUGCCAGCAGCCGCG
rnacentral:rRNA from 1 species